rnacentral:misc_RNA from 1 species
GAUGAAGAACGCAGCGAAAUGCGAUACGUAAUGUGAAUUGCAGAAUUCAGUGAAUCAUCGAAUCUUUGAACGCAUAUUGCGCUCUUUGGUAUUCCGAAGAGCAUGCUUGUUUGAGUAUCAGUAAACACCUCAACCUCUUCUUGAUUUUUCAAAAGGAGGGUGGACUUGAGCUAUCCCAACAACCUUUACCGGUCGGCGGGCGGCUUGAAAUGCAGGUGCAGCUGGACUUUUAUCUGAGCUAAAAGCAUAUCUAUUUAGUCCUCGUCAAACAGGAUUAUUACUUUUGCUGCAGCUAACAUAAAGGAUAAUUGUCCUCUUUGCUGACUGAUGCAGGAUUUUACGACACUUUAUGUGUUGUUCAACUCGAUCUCAAAUCAAGUAAGACUACCCGCUGAACUUAAGCAUAUCAAUGAGCGGAGGA